rnacentral:rRNA from 1 species
AUGAACGCUAGCGACAGGCUUAACACAUGCAAGUCGAGGGGCAGCACAGGUAGCAAUACCGGGUGGCGACCGGCGCACGGGUGAGUAACGCGUAUGCAACUUGCCUAUCAGAGGGGGAUAACCCGGCGAAAGUCGGACUAAUACCGCAUGAAGCAGGGGCCCCGCAUGGGGAUAUUUGCUAAAGAUUCAUCGCUGAUAGAUAGGCAUGCGUUCCAUUAGGCAGUUGGCGGGGUAACGGCCCACCAAACCGACGAUGGAUAGGGGUUCUGAGAGGAAGGUCCCCCACAUUGGUACUGAGACACGGACCAAACUCCUACGGGAGGCAGCAGUGAGGAAUAUUGGUCAAUGGCCGAGAGGCUGAACCAGCCAAGUCGCGUGAGGGAUGAAGGUUCUAUGGAUCGUAAACCUCUUUUAUAAGGGAAUAAAGUGCGGGACGUGUCCCGUUUUGUAUGUACCUUAUGAAUAAGGAUCGGCUAACUCCGUGCCAGCAGCCGCGGUAAUACGGAGGAUCCGAGCGUUAUCCGGAUUUAUUGGGUUUAAAGGGUGCGUAGGCGGCCUUUUAAGUCAGCGGUGAAAGUCUGUGGCUCAACCAUAGAAUUGCCGUUGAAACUGGGGGGCUUGAGUAUGUUUGAGGCAGGCGGAAUGCGUGGUGUAGCGGUGAAAUGCAUAGAUAUCACGCAGAACCCCGAUUGCGAAGGCAGCCUGCCAAGCCAUUACUGACGCUGAUGCACGAAAGCGUGGGGAUCAAACAGGAUUAGAUACCCUGGUAGUCCACGCAGUAAACGAUGAUCACUAGCUGUUUGCGAUACACUGUAAGCGGCACAGCGAAAGCGUUAAGUGAUCCACCUGGGGAGUACGCCGGCAACGGUGAAACUCAAAGGAAUUGACGGGGGCCCGCACAAGCGGAGGAACAUGUGGUUUAAUUCGAUGAUACGCGAGGAACCUUACCCGGGUUUGAACGCAUUCGGACCGAGGUGGAAACACCUUUUCUAGCAAUAGCCGUUUGCGAGGUGCUGCAUGGUUGUCGUCAGCUCGUGCCGUGAGGUGUCGGCUUAAGUGCCAUAACGAGCGCAACCCUUGCCACUAGUUACUAACAGGUAAAGCUGAGGACUCUGGUGGGACUGCCAGCGUAAGCUGCGAGGAAGGCGGGGAUGACGUCAAAUCAGCACGGCCCUUACAUCCGGGGCGACACACGUGUUACAAUGGCGUGGACAAAGGGAAGCCACCUGGCGACAGGGAGCGAAUCCCCAAACCACGUCUCAGUUCGGAUCGGAGUCUGCAACCCGACUCCGUGAAGCUGGAUUCGCUAGUAAUCGCGCAUCAGCCAUGGCGCGGUGAAUACGUUCCCGGGCCUUGUACACACCGCCCGUCACACCAUGAGAGUUGGGGAUACCCGAAGCCUGUGAGCCAACAGUUAAAUGAGGCAGCAGUCGAAGGUAGAAUCAAUGAUUGGGGUG